UGCCAAGUAACUCCUAUCCCUACCUCCUCGUGGUGCUGGCCGGGAUACGUGUAACCUUAGGGAAGAUCGGGUAACCAACCCCGGUCGUAUGCUGACAGGGAAGG
rnacentral:ribozyme from 1 species